rnacentral:rRNA from 1 species
UGGGGGAAUAUUGCACAAUGGGCGCAAGCCUGAUGCAGCAACGCCGCGUGAGGGAUGACGGCCUUCGGGUUGUAAACCUCUUUUAGCAGGGAAGAAGCGAAAGUGACGGUACCUGCAGAAAAAGCACCGGCUAACUACGUGCCAGCAGCCGCGGUAAUACGUAGGGUGCAAGCGUUGUCCGGAAUUAUUGGGGCGUAAAGAGCUCGUAGGCGGUUCUGUCGCGUCUGCUGUGAAAUUCCCGAGGCUCAACCUCGGGCCUGCAGUGGGUACGGGCAGACUAGAGUGCGGUAGGGGAGAAUGGAAGCUCCUGGUGUAGCGGUGGAAUGCGCAGAUAUCAGGAAGAACACCGAUGGCGAAGGCAGUUCUCUGGGCCGUAACUGACGCUGAGGAGCGAAAGCGUGGGGAGCGAACAGGAUUAGAUACCCUGGUAGUCCACGCCGUAAACGUUGGGCGCUAGAUGUGGGG